UACGGAGGGUGCAAGCGUUGUUCGGAAUUAUUGGGCGUAAAGCGCGUGUAGGCGGCUUGGUAAGUCGGAUGUGAAAUCCCAGGGCCCAACCCUGGAACUGCAUUCGAUACUGCCUCGCUGGAGUCCUGGAGAGGAAGGCGGAAUUCCGGGUGUAGAGGUGAAAUUCGUAGAUAUCCGGAGGAACACCAGCGGCGAAGGCGGCCUUCUGGACAGUGACUGACGCUGAGACGCGAAAGCGUGGGGAGCAAACAGG
rnacentral:rRNA from 1 species